UGCCAGUGUGGGGCAGGACAGCAGUGUACUUAGUGUGAGACAAAUACUUGUUUUCAGUGGCUGGAGAGAUGGAUGGCUCAGCAAUUAACAGUGCUUGCUGCUCUUUCAGAGGACCCAAGUUUUGUUCCUAACUCUAGCUCCAGGGGGAUCUGAUGUCCUCUUUUGGCUUCUGUGGCACACACACACACACACACACACACACACACACACACACACACACACAUUAAAAAUUUUUUUUUCGGGUCAGGGUUUCACUGUGUAGCCCUGGCUGCCUGGCUGUCCUAGAACUCACUCUGUAGACCAAACCAGCCUUGCACUCACAGAGAUCUGCCUACCUCUGCCUCCUGAGUGCUGGGAUUAAAGGUGUGUGCCACCACCACCUGGCCACCAUUAAAAAUUCUAAAAUAAAUAUACUUGUUUUCUCAGCCUGUGGGGCUCCGAGGUCACAGCAUUUUGUCCAACCACACACAAGGAGAGUCUGGGCACCUAGACACAAAGCGUGACGUGAUUUAUGCAUAUGAGGGAAUGGAUAAAAGAUGAUACUUAAAUGAGAUAGAGAGGACCAGCCAUGUUCAUAACCUGCUGAAGCGGCUUCCCACUGCCCACAACGGGGUAGCCAUGCAUAUGUGCCAUGCCAGCUGAGCCGAUUGUCUCAUCGACUAGCAUGUGAAAGAGAAGAGCUGCCUGGAGAAACUGGAAGGCACCUGUCACCCCAAACCCUGGUGGGCGAGCUACAGAGAAUGAGAACGGUGAAGUGCAGAGGCCUCAGAGCCUGCUGGGCAUUACAGAUGAAAAUGAUGGAAAGCAACUCACUUCCCAGAACUCCAGGGAAAUGACAGCAACUGGAUCAAACACUGUAGGCUUUAUCAGUGACGGUGAUGCUGUGGGUCUGAAAUCAUCGGUGGCUGAGGAUUAGAUGAUGGUCUUCUGAGUUCUUGCCCUGUGCCCUUCAGCUACCCAUCCUUGACCUUGGUAGGGAGAAUUGAAGCAGGGAGCUCUGGCCCCAGGAGUGCCUGCUGCAGGCAAGCCAGGGUGAGGGCCCACUCUGGGUUUGAGAGGUGUAGAUUUGAUUCCACUUAGCAAAAAAAGGUACCUGAGACACACAACUUUAAGGAGGUAAGAUUCCCUUUGGCUUGUGGUUUCAAAGGCUUCAGUGGGUGGUUGAACUAUUCCUCCCUUUCAGGCCUGCAGCAAGGUUGGAGCAUCAUGGAGGAGGAAUGUGGUAGAAGGCAGCUUGAUCAUCCCAGCAGCCAGCAAGCAAAGAGACGCACAGUAUCUCUCAAUUCAAUCAAGUUGACAAUCAACAAUCAAGAUUAACACGGAGCAAUCCCACUCCGUGUCAGUGUGACACCCUAACACACACUUCCUUACACCACACUUAAUCUCCAAAUGAAG
rnacentral:lncRNA from 1 species